GAUGAACGCUGGCGGCGUGCUUAACACAUGCAAGUCGAACGAUGAAGCCCAGCUUGCUGGGUGGAUUAGUGGCGAACGGGUGAGUAACACGUGAGUAACCUGCCCUUAACUCUGGGAUAAGCCUGGGAAACUGGGUCUAAUACCGGAUAGGAGCGUCCACCGCAUGGUGGGUGUUGGAAAGAUUUAUCGGUUUUGGAUGGACUCGCGGCCUAUCAGCUUGUUGGUGAGGUAAUGGCUCACCAAGGCGACGACGGGUAGCCGGCCUGAGAGGGUGACCGGCCACACUGGGACUGAGACACGGCCCAGACUCCUACGGGAGGCAGCAGUGGGGAAUAUUGCACAAUGGGCGCAAGCCUGAUGCAGCGACGCCGCGUGAGGGAUGACGGCCUUCGGGUUGUAAACCUCUUUCAGUAGGGAAGAAGCGAAAGUGACGGUACCUGCAGAAGAAGCACCGGCGAACUACGU
rnacentral:rRNA from 1 species